AACUAUGCCUGAGCGGGGUAA
rnacentral:snRNA from 1 species